rnacentral:rRNA from 1 species
AGAGUUUGAUCUUGGCUCAGAUUGAACGCUGGCGGCAGGCCUAACACAUGCAAGUCGAGCGGUAGCACAGAGAGCUUGCUCUCGGGUGACGAGCGGCGGACGGGUGAGUAAUGUCUGGGAAACUGCCUGAUGGAGGGGGAUAACUACUGGAAACGGUAGCUAAUACCGCAUAACGUCGCAAGACCAAAGUGGGGGACCUUCGGGCCUCAUGCCAUCAGAUGUGCCCAGAUGGGAUUAGCUAGUAGGUGGGGUAAUGGCUCACCUAGGCGACGAUCCCUAGCUGGUCUGAGAGGAUGACCAGCCACACUGGAACUGAGACACGGUCCAGACUCCUACGGGAGGCAGCAGUGGGGAAUAUUGCACAAUGGGCGCAAGCCUGAUGCAGCCAUGCCGCGUGUAUGAAGAAGGCCUUCGGGUUGUAAAGUACUUUCAGCGAGGAGGAAGGCGUUAAGGUUAAUAACCUUAACGAUUGACGUUACUCGCAGAAGAAGCACCGGCUAACUCCGUGCCAGCAGCCGCGGUAA